rnacentral:rRNA from 1 species
UACAUGGGGUGCAAACGUUGCUCGGAAUUAUUGGGCGUAAAGCGCACGUAGGCGGUUUGUUAAGUCGGAUGUGAAAUCCCUCGGCUCAACUGAGGAAGUGCAUCCGAAACUGGCAGGCUUGAGUACUAAAGAGGGUCGCGGAAUUCCCGGUGUAGAGGUGAAAUUCGUAGAUAUCCGGAGGAAGACCGGUGGCGAAGGCGGCCUGCUGGGCAGUUACUGACGCUGAUGCGCGACAGCGUGGGGAGCAAACAGG